GUCGAACGGAGAUAUCAUUUUCGAAGCGAUUAGUUUACUAAGAGCCGAUAUGUUGGUAUCUUAGUGGCGGACGGGUGAGUAACGCGUGGGUAACCUGCCUUACACUGGGGGAUAACACUUAGAAAUAGGUGCUAAUACCGCAUAACAGGGAAAGAUGCAUGUCUUUUCCUUGAGAACUCCGGUGGUGUAAGAUGGACCCGCGUCUGAUUAGCUGGUUGGCGGGGUAACGGCCCACCAAGGCGACGAUCAGUAGCCGGCCUGAGAGGGUGAACGGCCACAUUGGGACUGAGACACGGCCCAAACUCCUACGGGAGGCAGCAGUGGGGAAUAUUGGACAAUGGGGGGAACCCUGAUCCAGCGACGCCGCGUGAGUGAAGAAGUAUUUCGGUAUGUAAAGCUCUAUCAGCAGGGAAGAAAGAAAUGACGGUACCUGACUAAGAAGCCCCGGCUAACUACGUGCCAGCAGCCGCGGUAAUACGUAGGGGGCAAGCGUUAUCCGGAUUUACUGGGUGUAAAGGGAGCGUAGACGGCGAUGCAAGUCUGAAGUGAAAGGCGGGGGCCCAACCCCCGGACUGCUUUGGAAACUGUAUAGCUGGAGUGCAGGAGAGGUAAGUGGAAUUCCUAG
rnacentral:rRNA from 1 species